rnacentral:rRNA from 1 species
CACACCGCCCGUCACAUCAUGAAAGCCGUUUGUACCCGAAGUCACCGGGCUAACCGCAAGGAAGCAGGUGCCGAAGGUAUGGAUGGUGAUUGGGAUG